GAGACACCCUUAUUGGGUAGUACUUGCUUCAGUGGGGCUUUGGUGCUCACUGAGUCUGCCCCCUGAAUGUGUCUCU
rfam:Myotis brandtii contig246268, whole genome shotgun sequence.